UCGUGGGGUGACUUGUCUGCUUAAUUGCGAUAACGAACGAGACCUUAACCUGCUAAAUAGCUAGGCUAGCUUUGGCUGGUCGCCGGCUUCUUAGAGGGACUAUCGGCUCAAGCCGAUGGAAGUUUGAGGCAAUAACA
rnacentral:rRNA from 1 species